CCUACGGGAGGCAGCAGUGGGGAAUAUUGCGCAAUGUGCGAAAGCCUGACGCAGCGACGCCGCGUGAGGGAUGAAGGUCUUCGGAUCGUAAACCUCUGUCAGCAGGGAAGAACGGUCACUGUGCUAAUCAGCAGUGAAUUGACGGUACCUGCAAAGGAAGCACCGGCUAACUCCGUGCCAGCAGCCGCGGUAAUACGGAGGGUGCGAGCGUUAAUCGGAAUUACUGGGCGUAAAGCGCUCGUAGGCGGUAUGUCAAGUCAAGGGUGAAAUCCCCGCGCUCAACGUGGGAACUGCCUGUGAAACUGGCAAACUGGAGUGUGUGAGAGGAUAGUGGAAUUCCAGGUGUAGGAGUGAAAGCCGUAGAUAUCUGGAGGAACAUCAGUGGCGAAGGCGACUAUCUGGCACAUAACUGACGCUGAGGAGCGAAAGCGUGGGUAGCAAACAGGAUUAGAUACCCGGGUAGUC
rnacentral:rRNA from 1 species